AUGGCUUGCUACCCCAGCAACCCUCUCCCUCAUCUUCCUAUGGGCACCACCAUCACCCCCAGGCCCUCUCGUGCUCGGCAUGGCUAUGUGGUUCUGGGAGGAGAACUUCCCAUGGUGUGUGAUGAGUGGGCUAUUGCCACCUUGGUUCCGGAAGUUUCUGCAUAGGAGUUCCACGGUGCCAUUGCUCUGAUCACCAACUACCUCGAAGGUUGCGAAUGGCGCAUCAGCAACACUUCUCGCAGCGGUAUGGGUACGGCUCUCAUCCAAUUUACCACUGCCUAUUCUAGAGAUACGGAUGUCAGUCUUAGCCCGUUUCUGAUCGGGGACUCUGUUUUGAGGAUUACUAGGUAGGACAGAGGAUUGAACUAUCGUAGCAUUGCCUUUACUCAUGAUUUUUGGAUCCUGAUGAUGAACUACCCCCUUGAAUGUUGGGAUGUUGGGGUUAUCAGUCGCACAGUUUCUCCCUAUGGUAGAUUUCUCAUCUGGAACAAAGAUCCUAGAGAUAAAACUAGAGUUAUAGUGAAGCUCAGAGUCUUUAAUGUUGACACUGUUCCCAUCAGUAUUGUUGUGCUUCGUAAUCUGGAUGAUGUUGGCUAUGGGGACUCAUGGACUUGCCCUACGUACAUUCUAUCUAGAGAGGUGAUUGGGCAACAAGGUGGUGAUGAGGAUCCAGUCCCACCAGAUGGUGGAAAUCCACAUCCAUUGCCUCAUGUACAUGGAGGGUUUUGGCAUGAUGAGGUGCUAGGCAAUAUCCCCAUAGAUCAGGUUGUUAUUAAUCCUCACAAUGAAAACCUUGGUGCACCAUAUGAGGAUGUUCAUGCUGUCAACAAUAACAACCAUGCUAAUCAUGAGGCGGAGUCUGAUGAGCAAUCUGAACAGGUUCCUGUUGGUGUGAAUUCAGUUACUGUUCCCUUGGCUAAUGUGGUAUUGAGCAAUGCAGCUGGUCUGGAUGAAGCUGCUGGGGAGCAGGUUCAAGACACCAUUAGGCCUGAUUACAUCCCACUUGAUCAGGACCAAGAUCAUCAGCCAUCUGCUGCUGCUAGCCCUUUCAUUUGUCCCCAUCAAUGCUGA
rnacentral:rRNA from 1 species